rnacentral:rRNA from 1 species
UACGAAGGUAGCUAGCGUUGUUCGGAAUUACUGGGCGUAAAGCGCACGUAGGCGGGCUGAUAAGUCAGGGGUGAAAUCCCGAGGCUCAACCUCGGAACUGCCUUUGAUACUGUUAGUCUUGAGAUCGGGAGAGGUGAGUGGAAUUCCUAGUGUAGAGGUGAAAUUCGUAGAUAUUAGGAAGAACACCAGUGGCGAAGGCGGCUCACUGGCCCGAUACUGACGCUGAGGUGCGAAAGCGUGGGGAGCAAACAGG